GCGGCAUCCAACCCGUGCUUGUACCCGCUUCUUUACCGAUCCGAACAGCCAGUCGGCCUGCGGUUCAUGACUUUGAACCCGGGAACCGUGCCCCGAUUGUACCACUCCACCGCGAAUCUCUUACCCGAUGGACGGGUAUUAAUCGCCGGAAGCAAUCCGCAUUAUUUCUACAGAUUCGACGCCGAGUUUCCCACGGAGUUACGAAUCGAAGCGUUUUCGCCCGAGUAUUUGAGUCCGGACCGGGCGAAUCUCCGACCCAUUUUCGAGGGGAUACCCGAAACGGUGCGCUACGGCGAGAGUUUUGACGUUACGGUGUCGGUUCCGCUGUCCGUGGUGGGGGUUGUGGAGGUUAAUUUGGGGAACGCGCCUUUUGCCACGCAUUCGUUUUCGCAGGGUCAGCGGCUGGUCAAACUGGCCGUUACGCCGUCGGUGCCGGACGGUGAGGGGCGUUACAGGAUUAGCUGUGUGGCGCCGCCGAAUGGGAUGGUUGCUCCGCCGGGUUAUUACAUGGCAUUUGCGGUCAAUCAGGGCGUGCCAAGUGUUGCGCGCUGGAUACAUCUGGUGUCUUGAUGUAUGAUUUUAAUUUUUGGUUAGAAAGUUCGUGGAUGAAUUAAAUGUGGAUAAGAACCGUAAAGCAUUAAUUGAUAUUUUGUUUCCUUUGGGCUGGUUGUCGGUAAUUUGCUUGGAUAUCGGAGUUAUUGGUAAGAAGAUAAAUGGAAAUAGACUAGUUGGAGCUAUAGAGAUAAGAAGCGGGAGAACACUACAU
rnacentral:lncRNA from 1 species